rnacentral:rRNA from 1 species
GAUUGUUCACCCACCAAUAGGGAACGUGAGCUGGGUUUAGACCACCGUGAGACAGGUUAGUUUUACCUUAUUGAUGACAGUGUCGCAAUAGUAAUUCAACCUAGUAUGAGAGGAACCUUUGAUUCGCACAAUUGGUCAUCGCUCUUGGUUGAAAAGCCAAUGGCGUGAAGCUACCAUGCGCUGGAUUAUAAUUGAACGCCUCUAAGUCAGGAUCCGGGCUAGAAGCGACGCAUAUGCCCGCUGGUCGCUUGCCGACCCACAACAGGGGCCGUCCAGCCCCCAAAGGCAUGUGUCAUUGGUGAAGCCCCCGCGGCGGAUGAGCCGCGUGGGCUGCCUUGAUGUAUAAUUCCUAUCUCGAACGGCAGGUAGAAUCCACUGUAGACGAGUUAAAUACGCGACGGGGUAUUGUAAGUGGCAGAGUGGCCUUGCUACCAUGAUCCACUGAGAU